rnacentral:rRNA from 1 species
GCGGUUAAGAUGCCGAAAAUACUAGGAGGAAACACCAGUGCCGCAGACGGGCCGUUUGGGACCGUACGAGAACACUGAGGGCAUGAAAGAGGGGGUAGCAGACAGGAUUAAAUACCCUGGUAGUCCAGCGCGGUAAAGGAUGGGUACUAGGGGUAGGGAGGUAUAGACCCCUUACUGGGCCAUCGAUAACACAAUAAGUACCCCGCCUGGGGAGUACGGUCGCAAGACUAAAACUCAAAGGAAUUGACGGGGGCCCGCACAAGCAGCGGAGCAUGUGGUUUAAUUCGAAGCAACGAGAAGAACCUUACCUAGAGUUGACAUCUCCUGAAUUACCCUUAACCGGGGAAGCCCUUCGGGGCAGGAAGACAGGUGGUGCAUGGAUGUCGUCAGCUCGUGUCGUGAGAUGUUGGGUUAAGUCCCGCAACGAGCGCAACCCUUAUUUUUAGUUGCUACCAUUAAGUUGAGCACUCUAAAGAGACUGCCCGGAUUAACCGGGAGGAAGGUGGGGAUGACGUCAAAUCAUCAUGCCCCUUAUGUCUAGGGCUACACACGUGCUACAAUGAUGAGAACAAAGAGACGCAAGACCGCGAGGUGGAGCAAAUCUCACAAAACUCAUCCCAGUUCGGAUUGCAGGCUGAAACUCGCCUGCAUGAAGCCGGAGUUGCUAGUAAUCGCGAAUCAGCAUGUCGCCGGUGAAUACGUUCCCAGCCUUUGUAGACACCGCCCUUAAGGGGCGUAUUCGUACAAACACCACAGGUGGCCCCCCUAGAGGGUGUUAUGUGGGUGUAU